AGCAGCUUCCGGAAGAGGCAGGCAGAGUCACACCUGCCAUCGCUCUCCUGACACCAGAUGUCCAGAAACUGCUGCUGCCGGUGUCUCUGAGGGAGGAAGCGGGGUCAGCGGAGGGUCAGCUGCACUUCCGAAUUGUUGGAGGUUUUACAAGGAAGCUCUGAUGCAACAGAGGCCGCCCUGCCUGUGUGUCCAGCCACACGGCCCUGCCCGCUGUCCCAAGGUGAAGGCGGAGCAGGUGCAGCCUCUGGGUGGGGAGCAGGACUGACGGACACAGGAAUCCAUGUGGACCAAGGACUUCCCCAGGCACGGCUCCGGUGUGGCCCCCGGAGCACAGACCUGGUGAAGGAGGAGGAGGGAGGCCACAGGGCUUCCCACAUGCCCGGCUCCCAUGCCCACGGUGAGCGGGGGCGGAUCUGUGGGCCUGGGACCCAGUCCGGUGGAGAAGCUGGAGCCUUAAGGAGAAGAGCACGCAUUUACCUCACGAUUACAUCGGAACGUGGCUAUUAGUUCAAAAUGA